UAUUAUUCGUGAGUCCUGAGGGCAAGAGGCACAGCUGACUGAGUGUGUGUGACAUUUGAACCCUUGUUCUGAAGGGUCCACCCCCUGCUUCACAUAGGUGUGUGCAUCCAGUCCAGCCCUUCCAAUGCUGAUGGAUCACCAAAAGCUGAUUGACACAGUAAAAGGUCAUAAAGACACACAAAAAUAAAGACACAAGAGAGCACAGAUAAACAAUGAUCAGGAGAGAGGCAGUAACUGGAGAAUAAACAAGGCCUUAUGCCCCCAAAUGCCCACCUCAAAAAACAUUUAUCCAGUCAGCAUGGUCAACGGUCAGGGAUCAUGGCUCUUGCAUUUCAGGAAGCUAGAUCUGCAAGGCACACAGUUGUCUCCCACCACCACCACCACAAUAUCAAUGUCUCUAAUAAUGGCAAGCUCUCCUGAGUCCCCACUUGAUUCUAGCCUUCCUUUCUCCUGAAGUUACUACUUUAGAGGUAAAAAGGUAAAGGACCCCUGGACAGUUAAGUCCAGUCAAAGGUGACUAUAGGGUGUGCUGCUCAUCUCGCUUCAGGCUGAGGGAGAUGGCGUUUGUCCACAGACAGCUUUCCGGGUCAUGUGACCAGCAUGACUAAAACCACUUCUCGUGCAAUGGGAUUACUAGGUUGCUACUUUAUAAGCUGUUGCAACACAAUGUCAGUACCCAAGAGUGUCAGUAUUAAUUGCAAAUGAAAGCUGGUGCAAGUGCAGGUUGGUGAUUUGUGUUUGUGAAAGUUGACCUAUUUGGCACAGGUGUGUGUGGUGGCUGUGGGGUGGGAUGAGGUGGGGGAUUUGGUGAUCUGCAAACUUCAGGAUGGCCAGGGGUGGGAGGAUGGUUGGGUUGGUAAGCAGAGCGAUCAGGAGCAGCAACCUCGAGUUAUUAUAUGCAUGUUUGUGAACCUCUUCGAGCUUCUAUAAAAUCAAGUGGUAUAUGUAUUUUAUAAAAUGAAUCAGCAGUGGGGGCUCUGUCCCUCCCCCAGCUCCCCUGAUCCCCGACUACUGACCAGUGGAGAUGUGAGACCUGGGAAGCCAUGAUAACAAGAGCCUCCAUAUUUUUUUCUUCCUGUUGAGCUAAGUAAGCAAAUAUGCAUAUAAAUUAACAUAUGCUAAUCCAAAAUACAUGUAUGCCCCAUCUCUCUUCAGGAACUACCACCAACACUUGUAUCUCAGCCCUGUAAACCAUUCCACAUGGGUUUAUUGAGUUCAAUGGGGCUUAACCUUUCUGAUGACAAGAGUUGCUCAACAGGGAGUGGACUCCCUUGGAAGGUGAGGGGCUCUCUUUGACUGGAGGUUUCAAAACAGAGGUUGGAUGGCCAUUUGUCAGGGCUUCUUCAGCUGUGAUUCCUUCAUUGCAGGGUGUUGGUCUACAUGACCCCUUGGGAUCCCUCCCAACUCUCCUAUUCCACGAUUCUACAUGGGCUUACUUGAGUUCAAUGGGGCUUGCCUCUAGAUAAGUGUUCACAGGCUGACAGCCUUAAUCUCUUACUGAUGCUUCCAAUCAUCCCAGCUCCUCCAUGAAAGAACAUAAAUACUUUCCUUGGGCCAGCAGAUGGUGCUUUGGGCUGAUAAACCCUCACAGGAACCCCGUCAAAAUGCAGAUCUUUUGCAGAGAGGCUGGGAUCCACUCUUGGAUUCCAGAAACUCUGGAGGAAGCGGAUAAAGGCAACCUGUCUGCAGAUACCCAGCAGUUCAAGACACUUCCCCUGUUGGGCAAAGGAAAAAUCUCAUUCAAUAGUGCCCACAUUUGCAUCCUAUUCACAGGGGGUGGUAUCCAAAUAAGUCCUAUUUAAAGAAGCCCAUGAAAAUGAAUGAGUCCAUGUUAACCAUGUCCAUUAAUUUCUAUUGGUCAGCUUUGAAUUGGUCACCCCAACCCAAACACCCGCCAAGGUACAGAGGCAAAAGAAGCUGGGAAACAAGCUAAACUUUGGAGAAACAAUCCACAAUCUCCUUGCUUGCCUAUGAGGCAAUAUGUGCUUUCCUGAAGAAACCAUGAUGCAAACAAACCAUGGCUUGGUGUGAAUAAUAUAUUUGUCUUUAUGUGUGUCCCUCUAUAGGUUGAAAAGGAAGCCCUUGUUGAAUUUGAUAAUAUCUUCAUCACAUCAUCAUCAAGUGAAUUCAUUGAUUUUACUGAUUUCAUUAUUCAUGUUGGAUUAAGCAGUAUAUGAAUUACUUAAAUAUAUAAACUGUUGUUAUUAUUAUUAAUUAAAAAUACUGCCCUUCAUGGAAGGAUCAAAGGGUGGUUCACAGCAUAAAAAAACAAGAUAAAAACACAAAAUACAUAACAAAAACAAGCACAAAGCAAAUCAAUCACGCCUUUAAAAUAUAUAGAAAUGUUAUACAUAAAAGAUAUAGAAACUAAUAACACCUCUCCCUCAAACAAAUUUGAAAGGACUUAGAAAUGUUUUUGCUUGGCAUCUAAAGAUGUGUAAAGAUCACUAAUAAGAAUAAGAAUAAUGACGGCACAUUUCUUAAUCAUCUUUCACAUAAGAACAUAAGAAGAACCACCACAUAAUCUCACAUAAUCAGAACAUCAACAGCAAUUUCAUGGGUUUGGCAAUGGAGCAAGGUGUGUUGUUCUACUCAGGAGUGUCAAGCCUGGCCACUGAUCAAUCCAGUUCCAUAGUGUCUGUCCCAGAGCUCUUCGGCUUUACAUACCGGGUGUUAAUUGCCUGAAGUUCACAACAUCCGCAGCCAGCUUAAGCCUGUAGUCAGGAAUGGUGGGAGUCCUUGUCCGAGGUGGAAGAGGACUUGUGUGCACUGCCUGGCCCAAGAUUUCCAAGGCUUCAGACACGAGUCCCAUUCCUAUCCAGAGAUCUCAGGGAUGGAACUUAUGCCCUUGCAUAUUCAAAGCAUAGGCUCUUCUUCUGAGGUACGGGCCUCAUAGCUAAAUGCAAGUCCGUGUUGAGAUGAAGUUUUCAUUAAAACGUUUUCAGUAAAGAUUUUCUUGGGUUACAAAAGCACACACAUCACCUCCGUUUUCUGAUCAUAAUGUCCUUUUUACAUAUCAGUUAAAUUCAAUGUGAGCCUUAAUCUUGUAUACAGUAUAAGGUUGGGGGAGAAGUGCGGGGGAAGAGGGUGGGGAUAGGGAGUAGUAAACUUUCAUUCUUCUACAUACUGUAUGCGCAGGGUUUCAAGGUGAUUUCCCUUCUUUUGGAUGAGAUGGAUUUAGAGGGAGGUUUAGACCAUAGUUUAGACCUGCCCCUCUUGCUACGCCCAUGUACCUGAGGCCAGAUUCCAGAUACGUUAGCAUUCAUUUAUUUUUAAACCUCUGAGCCUCCAAUCUGUCAGAACCAGGAUGCUGGGUUAAAAUGCAUGAAUGCCAAAGGAAGGGAAAUCUCCUGAAUGACAUAGCUGUCCAUAAUUAUGGCUCGUCAUGAUAAAUGUUUUUUAUUUUAUUUUUAUUUUUAUUUUUGCAACGUAUCUACUUUAUUUAGAAUUCAACAAUAACAAAGGAAAAAACCACAGUAAUUGUUACAUCAACUCAUUACAAUUAACCGAUUUUAACAAUACAGUGGUACCUCGGGUUAAGAACUUAAUUCAUUCUGGAGGUCUGUUCUUAACCUGAAACUGUUCUUAACCUGAAGCACCACUUAGCUAAUGGGGCCUCCAGCUGCCGCUGCGCGAUUUCUGUUCUCAUCCUGAAGCAAAGUGCUUAACCCAAGGUACUAUUUCUGGGUUAGCAGAGUCUGUAACCUGAAGUGUCUGUAACCUGAAGAGUGUGUAACCCAAGGUACCACUGUAUAUAAAUAGUAAUAGAAAAAUUACACAUCACUUUUAACUUACUGAAGUUUUCAUAUUACACUUUUAUCUCUUUAGCUCUUUCUAACAAAUCAAAAAGAGAAAGGCCAAGAAAGGAGGCACAAAAAAUAAAAGAGAAAGGAGGAAGAAAAGGGGGGGAAGAGGGGGCAGGAAAAAAGAAAGAAGGGGGAAAACACAAAAUAAACACAUUUGACUUACAAUUAGACUCAUUAUAUUAUUAUUUCUACUAUUUUUUCACACACAGUUCCAAAUUAUUGUAUUACUUUCUUUGUUUUCAUCAGAUAUCAAAAACAUUAUAUUUGUUUUUUCAAGGAUCAUUCUAUUUCUGCCAGGAGAUAUUUAUUACUGUAAUGUUUUUCCAGAUACUCUUUAAAGAUUUUCCAUUCUUUCUGUACUUUCUGUUUUGGAUAACCUCUAAUUCUCCCUGUUAUCAUGGCCAUCUGUAAAUAUUCUAUCCUUUGGACCUGCCACUCAUUUAUCGUAGGUGUUUUGUCACUUUUCCAGUUUCUUGCAAUUAAGAUCCUGGAUGCUACUGUUGUGUAUAUAAAAAGUGGUCUACUGUAAUUUCGUUUUUGAUUUCUGAUGACAUUAUUCCUAGGAGGAAGGUUUCUGGUUUUUUCUUAAAUUAAUAAAUGCUUUUUUAAAAGGUACUGAACUUCAAUAUAGCCAGGAGGCAGAACAGAACUUUGAACCCUUCUAAUUCUUUCCCUUAUAGUCUUGCAAUUAACAGGUCUUAAAUGAGUUUUUGGUUGUUGUUGCUGCUGUUGCUGUUGUCUUCCACACACAUCUCAGGGUGAUUCACAAAACACAAAAGAAGGAGCAGCUUCAAACAUUAAAAGAUCAGAAAGCAAACUGCAGAUUGCUGGAGUAAAAGCAUGAGAUUAUUCCUCCCUAAGUGUAGAACCUUGCAUUGAACUCUUUUGAAAUUCAUUUUGUUGGUUUUGGCCAUAUUUUCUAAUCUGCUAUGGUCCUGUUGAAUCCUGAUUCUAUUAGCUACUCCCCUCCCUGUUUGGUGUCAUCUGCAGAUUGAAUGAGCAUCCUCUCAAUUCCUUCAUCCAAGUCAUUUAUAAUGGCAUUGGCAACAAUGGGGCCAGGACAGAACCCUGUGGCACUCCACUUGUCACUUUUUUCCAGGAUGCUGAAGAACCAUUGGAGAGCACUCUUUGGGUUCUGCUAGUCAACCAGCUACAAAUCCACCUAACAGUAACAUUGUCUAGCCCACAUAUUACCACUUUCUCUUCAAGGAGAUCAAAAAGUAGCUCAAGAAGCAGUAACUUGUUCCAUAUGACCUGAAUCUUUCAACAUUCUUCUCCAUUGGAUGUUCCCAAAGUUCUAGUAUUAUGGGAGGAAAACUGUUCCCCAUCCAUUUUCUCCAAACCACACAUCAGUUUAUAUACAUCAGUCAUACCCCUUCUAUCUCUUUCUCUAAACUAAAAUCCCUCAAACAUUGUCAAUUUUCCUUGUAGUGGAGUUCUUCCACUCCCUUGGUCAUUUUGGUUGCCCAUUUUAGGUACUUCUCCAACUCCUAAAUAUCCUUUUCAGGAUGAGGCAACCUAGAAAUUAACCUAUGACCAUUUCUCAUCAGUAUGCGGAUGAUACCCAGCUCUACCUCUCUUUUAAAUCGGAACCAGUAAAUGGGGUGAAGGUCCUGUGUGAGUGUCUGGAGGCAGUUGGAGGAUGGAUGGCGGCUAACAGAUUGAGGUUGAAUCCUGACAAGACAGAAGUACUGUUUCUGGGGGACAGGGGGCGGGUGGGUGUGGUGGACACCCUGGUCCUGAAUGGGGUAACUGUGCCUCUGAAGGACUAUGUGUGCAGCCUAGGAGUCAUUUUGGACUCACAGCUUUCCAUGGAGGUGCAGGUCAAUUCUGUGUCCAGGGUAGCUGUCUACGAGCUCCAUCUGGUAUGUAGGCUGAGGCCCUACCUGCCAGUGGACUGCCUUGCCAGAGUGGUGCAUGCUCUGGUUAUCUCCCGCUUGGACUACUGCAACGCGCUCUAUGUGGGGCUACCUUUGAAGGUGACCCGGGAACUACAACUAAUCCAGAAUGCAACAGCUACACUGGUGACUGGGAGUGGCCACUGAGACCACAUAACACCAGUCCUGAAAGACUUACAUUGGCUCCCAGUACAUUUCCGGGCACAAUUCAAAGUGUUGGUGCUGACCUUUAAAGCCCUAAACAGCCUCGGCCCAGUAUACCUGAAGGAGUGUCUCCACCCCCAUCAUUCUGCCUGGACACUGAGGUCCAGCACUGAGGAACUUCUGGCGGAUCCCUCACUGCAAGAAGCAAAGUUACAGGGAAACAGGGAGAGGGCCUUCUCGAUUGUGGCGCCUGCCCUGUGGAAUGCCCUCCCAUCAGAUGUCAAAGAAAUAAAAAACUAUCAGACUUUUAGAAGACAUCUGAAGGCAGCCCUGUUUAGGGAAGAUUUUAAUAUUUGAGGAAUAAUUGUAUUUUAAUAUUCUGCUGGAAGCCACCCAGAGUGGCUGGGGAAACCCAGCCAGAUUGGAGGGGUAUAAAUAAUCAACUUUAUUAUUAUUAUUCAAAGCUAUCUCUUCUGUCCUAUUAUUUGUGGGGAGGUGGGGGGGGAUAAACAGAGCCAUUUGGAUCCAGCCAAUGGUCCAUUCAGCCCAACAUCCAAUUCUCACACCAUUCAGCUAGAUGCCUGUGGGAAACAUGCAAGCAGGACCUGAGCAUAAGAAAAUUUCUCAUCCUGCUGCUUCCAGCAACUGCUAUGAAGAAGCAUUGCUGCCUCCCACUGUAGAAGAAGAGUAUAGCUUUCAUGGUUACCAGCCAUUGAUGACAUGUAACUGCCUAGUCUAGAAGUCCAGGAGCAGAAAAGGCAGCAACCGUAUUACUGGCUGCAGUUCUGCUUAGAUAUUGUAUAACUCCUCCUGUUUUCAAACAUCUGCAUGAGUUGCCAGUACAUUUCUGGACCCAGUUGAAGGUGUUCAGGUUGGUGUUCACAGUCCCAUGUGACACAGGUCCCAAAUACCUGCAAGACUGCCUCCUUCGCAGUGCUGAGAUUGCUCAGUUAGUAGAGCGUGAGACUCUGAAUCUCAGGGUGGUGGGUUCGAGCCCCACGUUGGGUGAAAGAUUCCUGCAUGGCUGGGAGUUGGGCUGGAUUACAUUUCUCAUUGCAACAGGAGAAUCUAGACAUCCAAUAAAGGCUAUGGAUUUACAGUGUUUUCGCAUUUUUAAGAUGCCUUGUGGAACCACAUAAAAAUUUGAAGCAAUGUGAAUCAUCCAGUUCUAUGAGAUAGCAUAUGAGAUAGAAUCCUCUUAUUUUGUUACAUUGAACUGCUCACGGUUCAUUGGCAACUGCAUAACAAGUAUUUCUAUGAAGAUCGGUAAAUAAUUGCUUAACAUUAUUUAUUUAUUCGGUUCAUUUGCCACCUGUCAACAAUAUUGCACCUUGGGGUUAGCCUUCCAGAUAGUGGGUGUCAUUUAGAUAAAAUGAUUUCAUUGAAGGUAAAUGCUUGUUGGUGAAUGUAUAGGAAGGUGCCAUACAGAGUUUUAUGUCACAACUGUUUACAAUUGUUGAAACUGGAAUUUGGUGUUUCAUGGUAUUUAAACAUCUCUAUCAUGUUGCUGGGAGUUGUUAUCAGGAGAGAUAGGGCGAGGGAUCAUCUACAUGUGGGUGACACCCAUCUCCAUCACUCUGUUCCAUCUAAAUUAGGAAAGGCAGUGGAAGUGUUAGACUGUGCCUUGGAUGGGCUAAUGGAUUAGAUAUGGGCCAAUAAACCGAAACAGAUACCUGAAAAGAGAUAAAAGGGACCCAUGGAGUCAUCUAGGUCAACCACCUACAAUGCAGGAAUUGAACCCAGAAAUCCCUAACAGGUGACCAUUAAACUUCUGAUGAAAAACUUCCAAUGAAGGCGGUCCCACUGCCUUCUGAGCUAAUCCAUUCCAAUGCUAAUCAGCUCUAACCCUUAGCAAGUUAUUCCUAAUGUAUAGUCUGAAUCCCUUGCUUAUCAUUUGAAUCCCUUGGUUCAAAUCCUACCCUCUGAAAUAGCAGAAAACAAGCUAGCUCCAUCUCCCAUGUGACUGGCAUUUACAUAUUUGAAGAUGUGUGGCGCUGUGGGUUAAACCACAGAGCCUAGGACUUGCCGAUCAGAAGGUUGGCGGCGGUUCGAAUCCCCACAACAGGGUGAGCUCCCGUUGCUCGGUUCCUGCUCCUGCCAACCUAGCAGUUCAAAAGCACGUCAAAGUGCAAGUAGAUAAAUAGGUAGCGCUCCGGCGGGAAGGUAAAUGGCAUUUCCAUGUGCUGCUCUGGUUUGCCAGAAGCGGCUUAGUCAUGCUGGCCACAUGACCCGGAAGCUGUACGCCGGCUCCCUCAGCCAAUAAAGUGAGAUGCGCGCCACAACCCCAGAGUCAGCCAUGACUGGACCUAAUGGUCAGGGGUCCCUUUAGCCUUACCUUACUAUAUAACCUCACUGUCCCCUUCUUCAAGCUAAACAUAUCCAACUGCAUCAAUGAUUCCUUAUAAGGCUUGGUUUCUAGACCCUUGAUCAUCUUGGUCUUCCUCCUCUCUACACAUUCCAGCUCAUCACUAUCCUAUUUAAAUUGUGGCACCCAAACUGGACAUAGUCCUCCUGGUGGGGUCUGGUCAAGCCAAAAUGGUGUGGAACUGAUACUUCUCUUGAUCUGGACACUAUACUUAUCUUGAUGCAACCUAGAACAGCAUUAGCAGUGCAGAUUUCCAGCCAACCAAUAAGUACUAAAAUGCAAUAGAAGGGUGAAUUGUCCAUUUACAAAAUUCAUAUCUUAAUGAAAACAAUUUGGAAAUGCAUUCUAUUAGAGCAAAUUGGUUGCAAUUAUGUAUUUAUUAGUCAAUACUCCAAAAAAAGUAAAAGUGUUUAUAAGGAAAAUUUCACACAAAGGUGCUGGUAAAUUUUCAUGAGCAACUCCCUGCUGCCCCCAAGAACCACAAAUUACAACAGAAUUGUGGAGAACUAAAUAUAAGAUUGGAAAAAUGAGAAGCUAUCAGUAGCUGAAGUUGGCAGAUUCUCCCCUCCUUAUGAAUGACCAAAUUCAAGAGAUUUCCUCUCAUAAGUUUUUGACAAAGUCUACAAUCCUGUCCAUCAAUUCAACUGCAGCAGGCAAUGUGAACAGGCCUGCGUCAAAGAGGUUUAGCACCCCAUGAAAUCCAUUCUCAACAUGGAACCAGCUGACUUUCACCCCAUUGUCCUCCAGACGUUUCUUGUACAGCAGUGCAUCAUCUCAUAAUACAUCGUACUCGCAGCUCACAAUUAGGGUUUCAGGAAGCUUCUGGAUGACAAAGUCUUCAGCAAAAAGGCAAGAAAUAUCUGGUUCCAAUAGCUCUCGCAAUUGCCUAUAGACUUCAGGUUCAUAAGGAGCAAGUGGGACGUGUUUGUAGCCUCUUGCCUUAAAUCUUUCUGGAAUGUUGUCCGGACUCAACCACUUCCCAUAUUUCAGUCUCAUUUAAUCUGGCACAUGAGAGCCCUUCAGGAGCUGGCCUGCCAAAGAAGUGUUCUUUCCAAUGUACUUCAUGAUAAAGUAAGCAACAUCUUCCCGGAACAAGGGGGACAUUGAGCUGUUCUGCUGAUAGGAAGGCAGUUUGAAGUCUAUAGCCUGGAAUUUCCCAUAGAUCAGUACUUGAGCCCGUAGUUUUGGAAGGUCUGAUCUAUCCACCAGUUUCUGGGCAACAACAGUAGCAUAAUUGCCCCCCGCACUGUCCCCACCAACGAUGAUCUUGGAAGGAUCCACCCCAUGGGAAGCUGCAUUUUGAAUUAAGUGUAUGGUAGCAGCAAGGCAGUCCUUGUACUGAGUGGGAGGAAGAUGCUCAGGAGACAGGAGGUAGCUGCAGAAUAAAACAGAAGCAAAGAGGUAAGCUUCCAGAAUCUUUUCCAAACACAUUCGUGAUCACAUAAGAACACCAGAAGGGCUUGCUAGAUCAGGCUCAUGGCCAUCUACUACAGCAUCCUGUUCUCACCAGGUCCAAGCAGCUUCCUAUGAGGCACCUGCAAGCAGGGCCAAAGCACAAGGCCCUCUUCCCGCCUGUGGCUUCCAGAAACUGGUCUUCAGCAGCACUCCUGCAAGUAUCCAUGGACUGCCCUCCAAAUUCUUGCUCAAGCAUUACUGUAUAUGUGGGAUGUGCAACCCAACUGGGAUGUACACCCAGUGCUAUUUUUCUAGGAAUAAAAGGUCCAGAAAUCUUCAUGAGUACCUCCCUCAUUCUCUAAGAUUGGCAACGAUGCCCACCUAAGAGGUGCCAGAACCUACCUGAGAGGUGCUGGAACUGAGUUCCCCCUGGAAAAAAGACCUGUGCAGAUAGUGAACCAUCAAACACAUGCGGAAUCCUCUUCAAGAGGCAUUACCUCAGGUCAAGAACACAUUCCAGGCACAUAAGAUCAAAGGGGGCCUUCUCAGUAGUGGCACCUGCCCUGCAGAACGCCCUCCCACCAGAUGUCAAUGAGAAAAAUAACUACCAAACUUUUAGAAGACAUCUGAAGGCAGCCCUGUUUAGGGAAGCUCUUAAUGUUUAAUAGGUUAUUGUAUUUUAGUGUUUUGUUGGAAGCAACCCAGAGUGGCUGGGGAAGCCCACCCAGAUGGGCGGGGUGUAAAUAAUAAAUUGUUGUUGUUGUUGUUGUUGUUGUUCGUGAGUCCUGAAGGCAAGAGGCACAGCUGACUGAAUGUGUGUGACAUUUGAACCCUGGUUCUGAAGGGUCCACCCCCUGCUUCACAUACGUGUGUGUAUCCAGCCCUUCCAAUGCUGAUGGAUCACCAAAAGCUGAUUGACACAGUAAAAGAUCAUAAAGACACAAAAAAAUAAAGACACAAGGGAGCACAGAUAAAACAAUGCUCAGGAGACAGGCAGUAACUGGAGAAUAAACAAGGCCUUAUGCCCAGUUCGUAGUCCCCCCAC